rnacentral:lncRNA from 1 species
ACGCACCCAGUCGAUCAACAUAAGCUGUUACUUACCUUCACAUUAAUUUCAAUUAUGAUACACAUGGCAUGGGACUUCAAGCCAGACAUCAAUACAUAAGAUACAUGUGUGGAUGUGAUCAUACGUAGGUCUAACAACUCCACAACUUAAUGUCAACUGCUGCUGCUUUCAUUUUUCCUAGUUUUAGUUGCUAACUGCUCUCAUAGGAUCUAUUGAUGGGUGGGUGGUGUAAUGGUCAAGAAACUUGACUUCAAUCAUCAAAAGCACAUGCACCUCCACAACAGCAGAAUAUCAACAUCAAUUCCUGAAUUUUCUCUCAACUGAGAUUAUCAUUAAUCUUUAAUUCAUAAGUUUUGCAGAUAAGCAACAUCUCAGGUUUUAAUAUAUGGACAGUUCUUAAUUUGACAACUGAUAUAUUCAACACUUGGCAUGCAAACCAUGAAAUGAAUCUUCGAAUCGAGCCACAGAAGGCAAUGAAAAUCAAUAGUUCAUAAAUCCAUGUUGCAAGAUAAGAACGAAAUGAAUAAGCCUUACUUGAAUGCGUAAAAAACAAAGACGAAUAUAUACUAGUUAAACAUAAUCACAAAUGAUCUCCAUAAGCACACACAUCAUGCUGCACAAAUUUUUUGCAAGUUGGUAUAAUGUUAUAGUAUAAUUAAGCAACAUUACUAAGUAUAGCAGUCUGCACAUCAUAGUUUCCGAAUAACAAGAUGAAGCAUGCUUCUUUUUCAUUCUUAUUCCUAGGAAUUGAACUUUUUUGAGCGAUAUUGCUGAGUAUAGUAGCAAGCGCAUCACAGUUUUCGAUUAAUAAGGCCAGAUUCAAAAUAAAUGGAAGAUGUUUGAGCUUACCAUGACAGCUUGAAUCUAUGUUAUGAAGCGAAA